rnacentral:rRNA from 1 species
GCCUACGGGAGGCAGCAGUGGGGAAUCUUGCACAAUGGGGUCACCCCUGAUGCAGCCAUGCCGCGUGGAGGAAGACACCCCUAUGGGGCGUAAACUCCUUUUCUGAGAGAAGAACCCCCUGUAGGUUCAGGGUGUGACGGUAUCUCAGGAAUAAGCACCGGCUAACUCCGUGCCAGCAGCCGCGGUAAUACGGAGGGUGCAAGCGUUGUCCGGAAUCACUGGGCGUAAAGGGUGCGCAGGCGGGGCAGCAAGUCGGAGGUGAAAGCCCGUGGCUCAACCACGGAAGUGCCUUCGAAACUGUUGCUCUUGAGUCCCGGAGAGGUUGCCGGAAUUCGUGGUGUAGCGGUGAAAUGCGUAGAUAUCACGAGGAACACCAGAGGCGAAAGCGGGCAACUGGACGGGUACUGACGCUCAGGCACGAAAGCGCGGGGAGCAAACAGGAUUAGAUACCCUGGUAGUCCGCGCCGUAAACGAUGAAUGCUCGCCGUUAUUCCGCUUAAGGAAUAGUGGCUAAGCUAACGCGUUAAGCAUCCGCCUGGGAGACAACGACGGGG